rnacentral:rRNA from 1 species
ACGUACACUCCUGCGGGAGGCAGCAGUAGGGAAUCUUCCACAAUGGGUGCAAACCUGAUGGAGCAAUGCCGCGUGAGUGAAGAAGGUCUUCGGAUCGUACAGCUCUGUUGUUAGAGAAGAACACGUGCUAGGUAACUACUAGCGCCUUGACGGUAUCUAACCAGAAAGUCACGGCUAACUACGUGCCAGCAGCCGCGGUAAUACGUAGGUGACAAGCGUUGUCCGGAUUUAUUGGGCGUAAAGGGAGCGCAGGCGGUCUGUUUAGUCUAAUGUGAAAGCCCACUGCUUAACCGUUGAACGGCAUUGGAAACUGACAGACUUGAAUGUAGAAGAGGAAAAUGGAAUUCCAAGUGUAGCUGUGGAAUGCGUAGAUAUUUGGAUGAACACCAGUUGCGAAGGCGAUUUUCUGGUCUAAUAUUGACGCUGAGGCUCGAAAGCGUGUGGAGCGAACAGGAUUAGAUACCCCAGUAGUCCCAUGAU